rnacentral:rRNA from 1 species
ACUCAAAUGAAUUGACGGGGGCCCGCACAAGCGGUGGAGCAUGUGGUUCAAUUCGAAGCAACGCGCAGAACCUUACCAGCCCUUGACAUGUCCCGUUUGGAUACCGGAGACGGUAUUCUUCAGUUCGGCUGGCGGGAACACAGGUGCUGCAUGGCUGUCGUCAGCUCGUGUCGUGAGAUGUUGGGUUAAGUCCCGCAACGAGCGCAACCCUCAUCUUUAGUUGCCAUCAGGUUAAGCUGGGCACUCUAAAGAAACCGCCGGUGACAAGCCGGAGGAAGGCGGGGAUGACGUCAAGUCCUCAUGGCCCUUAUGGGCUGGGCUACACACGUGCUACAAUGGCGGUGACAAUGGGAAGCGAUGGAGCGAUCCGGAGCCAAUCUCAAAAAGCCGUCUCAGUUCAGAUUGCACUCUGCAACUCGAGUGCAUGAAGGUGGAAUCGCUAGUAAUCGUGGAUCAGCACGCCACGGUGAAUACGUUCCCGGGCCUUGUACACACCGCCCGU